rnacentral:rRNA from 1 species
AGAGUUCGAUUAUGGCUCAGGACGAACGCUGGCGGCGCGCCUAACACAUGCAAGUCGAACGGAGCCUUGCUUUGGAAGUUUUCGGAUGGAAGAAGCUUGGCUUAGUGGCGGACGGGUGAGUAACACGUGAGCAACCUGCCCUUCAGAGGGGGAUAACAGUUGGAAACGACUGCUAAUACCGCAUGACGUUGCGGGGCCGCAUGGCCCUGCAACCAAAGGAGCAAUCCGCUGAGGGAUGGGCUCGCGUCCGAUUAGCCAGUUGGCGGGGUAACGGCCCACCAAAGCGACGAUCGGUAGCCGGACUGAGAGGUUGAACGGCCACAUUGGGACUGAGACACGGCCCAG